AUGAACUGUGCAUUUUUCUUAAGCCUACUGGCAGCUGUCUGCCUGCCUCACUUCAUUUGCCCAGCCGCUACAGAGGCUCCUGAAAUUAACUCAACAAAUGCUCUGACCACUACAGUACCAGAGGUCAGCGGGCUUUUAACACCUCAGUCAUUCAAAACGCAACAUUUGGCAACACCAGACACCUGGACGAUGCCAACAACUGCCAUGGAGUCAACAUCUGUGACUUCUCUUGAUGAUCCUGCCCAAACCUUUUCUGAUGACACAAGCCUACCAGCUUCACAAUCAUCGACAACAAACAUUGUUGAUGCACCCACAAACAUAUUUCUGACUUCCACGCAGACCACACCUCAAAGCUCAGUCGUCACAGCACACAGCAUUCCACAAUUAUCAGCAACUUAUCCCAUCUUAACAGACACAUCUACACACAAAUUUCAAGACAGAAAGCAGACAGAGGAGCCACAUUUAACCUCAAAUGAGAUGGUCAUGUUAAUCAAUUCAUCCUCCUCCACAUCUGGAGGCUCAAUUGAAGAGAGUUUAUCAAUUAUUCCAACAGUUACAGCGAGGGACAUGACCACUACUAAGAAAGCAACAAGAACGGACAAAGUUAAAACAGUUUCUGGAUCAACCGUGGCAGCAGAUGACAACAAUUUAUCUACGGCACCAUUAGCUAAAACAGCAAAAGGGCCUACCGCCUUUCAGACAGAAUCCACCAAAACUUCAACACAACCUGAAAGCUCUGAGGCAGGACAAAGUACGAAAGCUGUAGCCACAAAAUCCAACACAUCACUCAAGCAAACCACUGAAUCUGCACCAUUUAAAGCAACCACAAUAGCCACAAUGCAUGCAACAACAGUAAUUGGAGCACCUUUGGCCGGCGAGACAGAAAUUGCAGUUACAAGACCAACACAGACCACUACUGAAACCACUCAAAACAUAGGAUCUUUAAUAACAUCAUUUGUGACAACAAUGCCACAUACUACAACCUCUUUAAAAACAACAACACUGCAAUCUACAGCUUCUGUAACAACAAGGCUGCAAGCUACAUCAUCUAUGACAACAAUGGCACAAACUACAGCCUCUGUAACAACAGCACCAGAAACUACAUCAUCUGUGACAACAACGCCACAAACUACACCAUCUUUGAUAACAAUGCCAGAAACUACAUCAUCUGUUACAACAAUGCCACAACCUACAACAUCUGUGAUAACAAUGCCACAAACUACAUCAUCUGUUACAACAACGCUGGAAAGCACAUCAUCUCUUACAGCAAUGCCACAAACUGCAGCCUCUGUAACAAUAACAAUGCCACAUAUUAAAUCAUCUAUAACAACAAUGCCAGAAACUACAUUAUCUGUGACAAGAACGCCACACAGCACAUUAUCUGUGAUAACAAUGACACAAACUACAGUGUCUGUCACACCAUCAUCAUCUGUUACAACCACUCCACAAACUUCAACAUCUGUACCAACAACACCACAAACUGCACCAUCUGUGAUAACAACGACACAGAGCACAUCUGUAAAAUCAAAGCCACAAUCUACAUCAUCUGUGACAACAACCGACCAAACUAUAUCAUCUGUAACAACAAUGCCACAAACAACAGCCUCUGUAACAACAGCUCCACAAACUACAUCAUCUGUUAGAACAACGCCUCAAACUACAGCCUUUGUAACGACAGCACCAAUAACUACAUCAUUUGUUACAACAAUGCCACAAACAACAGCCUCGGUAACAACAGCCCCACAAACUACAUCAUCUGUUACAACAAUGCCUCAAACUAUAGCCUUUGUUACAACGGCACCAAGAACUACAUCAUCUGUUACAACAAUGCCACAAACUACAUCAUCUGUUACAGUGCCACAAUCUACACCAUCUGUGAUAACAACACCACACAGCACAUUAUCUGUGAAAACAACACCACAAACUACACCAUCUGUGAUAACAACACCACACAGCACAUUAUCUGUGAAAACAAAGCCACGAACUACAGUGUCUGUCACACCAACGCCACAAACUACAUCAUCGGUAACAACAAAACCACAAAUAACAUCAUCUGUGACAACAACAGCACAAAGCACAGCAUUUGUGACAAUAAUUCCACAAAUUGCAGCCUCUGUAACAACCGGACCAGAAAUAACAGCCUUUGUAACAAUCAUGCCACAAAGGACAUCAUCUGUGACAACAAUGCUGCAAACUACAUCAUCUGUUACAACAAAGCCACAAAGCACAGCCUCCUUAGCAGCAGAGCAACAACCUACAUCAUCUGUUAAAACCACUCCACAAACUACAUCAUCUGCAACAACAACACCACAAACUGCACCAUCUGUAAUAACAACGCCACAAAUUACAUCAUCUGUUACAACAAUGCCUCAAACUUAA
ensembl:lncRNA